rnacentral:rRNA from 1 species
GACGAACGCUGGCGGCGUGCUUAACACAUGCAAGUCGAACGGAAAGGCCCUGCUUUUGUGGGGUGCUCGAGUGGCGAACGGGUGAGUAACACGUGAGUAACCUGCCCUUGACUUUGGGAUAACUUCAGGAAACUGGGGCUAAUACCGGAUAGGAGCUCCUGCUGCAUGGUGGGGGUUGGAAAGUUUCGGCGGUUGGGGAUGGACUCGCGGCUUAUCAGCUUGUUGGUGGGGUAGUGGCUUACCAAGGCUUUGACGGGUAGCCGGCCUGAGAGGGUGACCGGCCACAUUGGGACUGAGAUACGGCCCAGACUCCUACGGGAGGCAGCAGUGGGGAAUAUUGCACAAUGGGCGGAAGCCUGAUGCAGCAACGCCGCGUGCGGGAUGACGGCCUUCGGGUUGUAAACCGCUUUCGCCUGUGACGAA